GGUCUCGCGGGGCUCGGCCUCGCCCUCCCGCCCGGCCGCCGGGCUCGCGCUCGCUGCCGGGGCUGCCUCACGCGUCCACCGCCGCCCGCCGGGCCGCCGCCUCCGGCCGCCUCCUCGUCCUCCACCCCCGCCCCGCUGUGCUCCGGACAGCGUCCCGCGCGGAGAAGGGGGCGGGCGGCGGAGAGAUAUCCUUCCUCCGGUGCGCCGAGGAGUCCCGACGCCGCCGCCGACUUCCCAGGCGCUGAAGGCGAGAGGCACGUUAAGCUGCUGGGCUCCGCCACAUAACGAACCGACAAUAAAGCCGGCGGAGCGUUUCCGUCCGACCAGGCCCUGGCGGAGGUCGAAUGGCAAAUGAACAACGGACCGUGCGCCCACAAUGCACCGGGGUAGCAGUAACCGCUGGAGGGGGAAAGGGUGGGGGCCGGGCUGGGGGAGGGGGGCUGGGCUUGGGGCUGGGCCGGGGUGGGGUGGGGGCGCCAGGGGACCGGGAAAGGGGCUGGGCCGCGCCUCCGGCCUGGGGGCGGGGGUGCGGCCGGGGGGGAAGGAAGUCGGCCGAGGGGCGGGGGACAAAAGGCCGAGCGGCUGGCUGGGGGUCUCGAGGAGGGGGCGGGCGUGUGCGGCCGGGGCCGGGCUACGCGGAGGACAAACAGCUGGCGAGUGUCAGGGUCUGGCCGCCUCCCCGCUGCCCGCACGCACCUACCCGCGCCCGGGACGCACAUUUUCCUCCUCUCGCCACGAGUUCACCUGGGACUUUGGAAAUAACUGUGCGGUGGGGGCUGCUGCGCUCCAGCCUUGUCAUUUGCUAGGGGUGGGUGGCGGUGCCCAAGGAAGUGAACUUAUUUUGUUCCUUCACAAAGACUGGACCAGGCGGUGCCUUUCACACAAGGAGGUUACAACCACCGACACCUCCUCGUCUGCAGCAUUGUGUGUGCCAGGCAGCACCUCAGGCCCAAGGCAAUAAUCAUUUCACAGAAAAUGCACCGCCCCGAGUGUCUUAUUGCUGUGAUGAAAUGGAAAUUUAAAUAAAAGGUCGAACACGUGCGUUCACUGGGAAGUAUUGACAUGGGUGUUACAUCACCACCAGCCAAUCAGAUAACUCCAGUCGUGUUUAUACUUCUACAACCACCUUGUGAGUAUUACAGUAUGUCAUAACGUUAUAAAUAUUAGGCAGGGUUUUCCCCAGGAGCGGGGAGGAGUCUGCUUAUACGGACGUUGUGUGCGACUCCAAGGAUUGUGUAUCUAAAGACAAGAAUUAGUUAUUAAGAUUUAUUUUUUAAUUGUUUACAUUGCAUAUGGAAUUUAGAAUGAUUAGAGGAACAGAUUGAGCUAGAAAUGAAACUCAUAAUCUUGGUCGAGUUUUCCAACUUAGAGCCCUUAUACUCCUAUUCUUGAAAUUUUAAAUAAGCUAAAUUUUAAAGUGUUUAGACUCGUUUUACUAUUUUAAAAUGUGAAAUAAAUCUUAUUUUUUAUUCAAACCUAUUUCAGGUUUAAAAAAGAUCUUCUCGGGCGCCUGGGUGGCUCAGUUGGUUAAGCGACUGCCUUCGGCUCAGGUCAUGAUCCUGGAGUCCCGGGAUCGAGUCCCGCAUCGGGCUCCCUGCUCAGCAGGGGGUCUGCUUCUCCCUCUGACCCUCUUCCCUCUCGUGCUCUCUGUCUCUCAUUCUCUCUCUCUCAAAUAAAUAAAUAAAAUCUUAAAAAAAAAUUAAAAAUUAAAAAAAAUGAUCCUCUCAAACUAUGGCGAGGCUUUUUAACUUUAAAGAAAUUUAUUAAUAUUAAAAGUUUAAUCACAAACUAAUAUGAAAUAUAUUCAAGAUAAACUCUUGAAAAAGGGAAAAAGGACAUUUAUAUGGCAGGGUACACUUUUUACAUUAAACACGUUAGGAUGUGCAUAGAAAAAAUUGGAAAUAUGCACAAACUCUUUACACUUACAGAUUAUUGUUAGAGGCUUUAAUUGUCUGCAUUAUGUAUUAAUGGAAAAUUAUAUAUGUUUAAUAAAGAACAUGUAUUACAGCUUUUAGGCCCUCUAGUUUUAUGAUUCUGUUCUCUUGAAAUUUCUAUUUUUAAAAUAAGAAAAAUAUUAUACCUUUGAAUAUGUAAUGUGGAGUAUGGAAUAUGGUAUGUUUCUGUUAACUUUAAAAAACAGAUUUUCUCAGACAUUAUAAAAUACCAUUAGUAUUAAUAUUUUUCAAUGGAUAAACACAUGCAUGCACAUCGAGACUCAUAUAUACUGUUGAUUGUAUUAUACAAAGCAACUUCCACUUAAUUCACUAUAAUUUUAGUGUCUGUAGAAAUAAACAGUAUUAUAUAUCAAACAAAAAGUGUUAGUUGUAUCUUAUAGACAAAAUAUGAUUUUAAUGUAAAGAAUGAUGCUGAUAACCUGCCACAAAAAGGCUUUGGCUUUGAGUUAUUUUUCCAGUAAUAAUCAUAUUGUCAUCUGCCUACCAAUGAUCAACAGCUUGAAAUUCUGAUAAAGAUCCUCACUUGGUAUGGUUUGUGGGUUUUUUUUUUUUUCUUCUUCUUUGUGUCCUGCUUUGUUUUAAUUGUUGGGAAAUCUAAGACAGUAGAAUCAUGAUACUGACCUAAUUUGUACCUUGGAGAAGAAAGGAUUCUGCCUGCUUGGGCACAUAUAAUAUGUGCUUCCAUGUGAUAUAUAGAAGAAUGUUAUAAUAAUACUGUACUUUGUCCUUAAUGCAUUUUUUCAAUUCCAGGCACUUUGCAAACAAAUGCAUUAUUUAUUGUAUUUUAACCACCACUGCCACCCCCAUAAAAAGAAGAAUUACUGAAGUUAAUUGCUUAUCUAGGAUUAAAGUAAUGAAAUGAAGAUGAAGCUCUUCCAAGUAUAUUCGUGAUCAACCAACAUAAAAUUUGCCUCAACCUUUGGGAUAUUACUCCUGCGACAAGAACCAUAAAGAGUGGCUGUGCCAUCAUGCCUCUGUUUUCAAAAGGAGUGGACCAGACAGUGUGGGUGGAGAAGGAAAAAAAUUCAUAAGCACCUUUGGAUAAACUGCUCAAAGUCGUUGCGCUACUUACAAGAGCUCAGCAGAGGCUUCUGCAUGAACAAGAACAGUCGACAUGAGUGAGGUGUGAAACAUAAUGCAGAUAAUGCACAAGUUAUGCCCUUCAAGGCCAUGAAUAAUUGUGGCCAACCUUGGACAAGAAGUCGGUCAUCCCAAGAGUAGAAUUAAAAAAAAAAAAUGAAGUCAACUCCUGGGCUACGCAGAGAAUACCUGUACACACACUCUCUUCUGAGCCUCUGUGACUGCGGGAAACCACAGGGGAGAUGAUGUGAACAGAGAGCCUCUCUACUAGCCUCUGGCAUCAGAGAGAGAGAGAGGCAGAGGCAGAGGGAGAGAAGCAGGCUCCCGCCCAGCAGGGAGCCCGAUGCGGGACUCAAUCCCACGACCCCGGGAUCACGACCCGAGCCGAAGGCAGACGCUUAACCGACUGAGCCACCCAGGCGCCCCAGGUGGCAGGAGGAGAAUUCAUCUCUAGAAAAGGAGAAGCUUCUAUGAGACAUUGUGAAGACUGCUCCAGGACACACCAUCUCCAUUAAAAGCCACAGCCUCUAUGUGGGACAAGGACAGCAUGGAGCAGAAGAGAGGGAGCUGGUACAGAAGGGAGAGUACAGGCGUAAGCCCUCCAGAUGAUUAUUCUAUACAUCAAAGUUUGAAAACCACUUCUUCACCAGAUCUAUCUAUCUCCUCAUCUCACCUCAGAAAGUUUCAUCAAGCCUCGAAGAUCCACUUUUAUCACCACUGUGGUCUCUGUAUUUUCCUGUAAGAAGACCUGGUACAGCAUUAAGGAAAGCCCAUUUCUUAUGGUCUGUCAGCGUCACUUAGGGACGUUGCUUCUCUCAGGAACUGAACUGAGAUAACUGAAUGUGUUCAAAACAUCUUACCACUCAUGGUGUUGGUAGGUGUUUUGACUUCUAAGAAUUUCAUUUCCUCAUCUGUAAGACAGGAGACAACAUUGCCUAUCUCAAGAUUGUAUUACAAGUUAAACAAUACUAUGAUCUAAAGUACACAGUAGAGUGCUUGACACACAGUGAGCAGUCAGUAAAUGGCAGUUGGUAUGAACAAGGUAGGCCAGAAGUUGUGAGGCUGUCUUCUGUCCCACACUGUACCAAGGGAGGAGAUAAACACAGUUGGAAAUAACAGGUGGUAACAGUGGAAAGGAAACAGGCUGGCCAAUCCCUAGGGCUCAGAGAAGAAAGGAAAGAGGGCUUUUGAGAGCUGGCGAAAGACCCGGAAUGUCCUUAGAGUUUUAUAUUGGCAAGAGGCCUCAGCCUCCCACAGCUGCUCACCUACCAACUCUUUGGAAUUUUAGAUUUCAGGCACAAGAUGAUUUAUAUGGUUGCUUGAGAGCAGUGAAUAAAUGAAGGGAAAAAGUGUCCAUGAAAAGACCAGUUUAGUAAAACCUUCUGGUUUUUCUUUCUUUGUUGGUGGUACCCUGCCAAGACCUCCAUCCAGACUUGGCUCACAGCUACUCUGCUCUGCGACCCACAGCUCACUGGGGAGGUCACAAGCUGGUUAUUAUCCCAUAACCACACCGCUUAUCAGGCUUUGCCGUUGUCUUCUUCAGUGUGAAUGCUUGGGCUCUUCACUAUGCAAUGAAAAUAAACAGCUAUGUAAAUGGUCUCCUGGCUACUUGAUUCAAACCAUAAGGAAAACCUGCAUUACAAGCUUCCACUGAAACUUCUAGUAGAAUAAGCAACUGAUAAUUCUACACCAAAUGUCUGGCUUUUAGCCAGGACUAACAACUGUUCCCUUUUUGUAAGCCACAUUCUGGUGACCAUGGAGAGUCAAAAUAGACAUUUUGAUUCUAGAACAUUUUUUAAAAGAAGGUGAAAUCACAGUGUCAUUAUGCAAGCUAACUAUAGGUUUAGGAUGAAGAAUAAGUUAGCUUCAAAACUUUAAAUUGGUUGACUGUCAAUCAUUCAUUAAAAUAUUACUGUUUUUCGAAUUGUUGGUACUCAUUGCUAUUAGAGUAGGGUUGCCAGACUUAGCAAAUAAAAAUAAAGGGUGCCCAGUUAAAUUUGAAUUUCAGAUAAACAAGGGAUAAUUUUUUAGCAGAAGUAUGUCCCAUGUAAUAUUAAUUAUUUAUAAUAUUUAGUACAUGAGACAUACUUACACUAAAAAAUUAUUUGUUUAUCUGAAAUUCAAAUUUCACUAAUCUGGCAACUUUAACUUAGAUGCAUUUUCACUAUGAUGCCAAGAAACAUGAGAAGGGCAGGGUAACAUUUUAAAAUUCUGAUGAGAUAGUUGAACUUCUUUGCUAGGUCAAAAGAUAAUAUGACCUUUUCUUUUUGCCACUUGUCCUCUAUUAAAAUUAAUUUUGUAUUUUCCACCAAGCUCUAGAGUUAGGGUUUUGUUUUUUGUUUUUUUUUUAAUUAUAUAUAUAUAUUUUUUAAUAUUUUAUUUAUUUAUUUGACAGAGAGAGACACAGCGAGAGAGGGCAGGGGGAGUGGGAGAGGGAGAAGCAGGCUCCCCGCAGAGCAGGGAGCCCGAUGCGGGAC